AGCGCCGCUCUCGGCCCUUUGGCUAAGAUCAAGUGAAGUAUCUGUUCUUAUCAGUUUAAAAAAAAUAAAAAAAAUAAAAAAAUAAAUUCAGCGCCGCAAUUUCUAAAUCAGUUCACGACAUGGAUGUGUCUCUGGCAUCAGCACUCUGACACAUAUUAUAUAAUUAUUAUUAUAUUUGUGAAAAUGGAAGAAGAUGCUUU